rnacentral:misc_RNA from 1 species
GUGGGACUUGAAGAGGCAGUAGCUUCAUUAGAAAAUUUUGACAACCUAAUGGUGAAUAAUGAGCUAUCACUUAUGAGGAGGAAUUAAAUAAGUAAGAUAGGAGAGUGAAUUAAAUGGUGAAAAAGUUUCAUUGGAAUUUGAACCUAUAAAACAAGUUAAACCACAAAUGGAAGAACAAAAUUCCUUUGAAGAUGACUUAACAUUAGAGUUCCCACAAGAACAGGAGUUACUUGGAGAAAAAGUGGUACCUAAAGUAGAAGAAAAUAACUCUUUUAUAGUUGGGAGGUCAUUGGAAGGGUGCUUACAUGAAGAUAAAUUAGGAAUGAAGGUGGUGGCUGAAGAAAUUGAUAAGACUAUCGAUUUGAGUUAAUUGAUGGUGCUUAUACAUACACCACUAAAACACUCGUUUUUUU